ensembl:ncRNA lncRNA:CR44721 long non-coding RNA:CR44721
GCGUGUUGCCCCACCGUAUCUUUGACUCAAUCUCGAGGCAGCCUGGCCGAACGAACGGUCUUGGAUCUUUGGAACUCCAUUCGAUCCGCAGUCUGCCGCCCCCCUCCCCCCUCCUCCACCACUCCCAAUACCCAUCGCAGUGGUUCUGGGUUGGGCGAUGGUGGGGCGGAGAUAAUGCCCGGCGAGUGCUGAGGGCGGCAAUGAUGAACCCUCCGCAUCCAAUUGAGGGGCGGACGGCAGUUUCGUUGCGGUUGAAGUGAAUCCAAAGGCGAGGAAAUCCUUUGGCGUUCAGGAGAUCAGGUUCGAAAGUUAAAAAAGCACAACCUGAGCAAUUAAAAUACCUCGUUUAGAGCUGGAUUAGAUAAAUAAACUUGGCGCCGGACAAACCUAUGAAUAUUCAUAUGUCUGCUAAACGGAUUCGGACCGCAAGCUAAUAUCCAAAAAAAAAAUGGCUAAGUGUGCUAAUAUAUUCAAGAUUAUGCUAAAUACAUAAAU